rnacentral:rRNA from 1 species
GACGAACGCUGGCGGCGUGCCUAAUACAUGCAAGUUGAGCGCUGAAGGUUGGUACUUGUACCGACUGGAUGAGCAGCGAACGGGUGAGUAACGCGUGGGGAAUCUGCCUUUGAGCGGGGGACAACAUUUGGAAACGAAUGCUAAUACCGCAUAAAAACUUUAAACACAAGUUUUAAGUUUGAAAGAUGCAAUUGCAUCACUCAAAGAUGAUCCCGCGUUGUAUUAGCUAGUUGGUGAGGUAAAGGCCCACCAAGGCGAUGAUACAUAGCCGACCUGAGAGGGUGAUCGGCCACAUUGGGACUGAGACACGGCCCAAACUCCUACGGGAGGCAGCAGUAGGGAAUCUUCGGCAGUGGACGAAAGUCUGACCGAGCAACGCCGCGUGAGUGAAGAAGGUUUUCGGAUCGUAAAACUCUGUUGGUAGAGAAGAACGUUGGUGAGAGUGGAAAGCUCAUCAAGUGACGGUAACUACCCAGAAAGGGACGGCUAACUACGUG